UCAACUACUGAUUUGCACAGGACAGGGUUAUACCAGUGGUUGCUUUGAAUAUAGCUAUUUGUUCAGAUUCCAUGGCUCAUGGAAAUAAAAGAUCAAGGCUUUUGAGUAGCAGAUGAUUAGAUACUUAAAGCCAUGAAGGUUUAGCUUGUCACCAUCAAACACUAGAGAAAAACCACGAGUUUGAUAGUUGGUAAGCAAUAUGCUUGCAAGACCCUGAACCAACCACCACAACUAAGCAAUAUGCAUGCAACUCCAUUUGAGCUCUCAUUCUGCCUUCAGUUUGAUAGUUGGUAACAUUUCAUUCCCCUCAUGUCUUCAUUCAUCUAUUGCUUAGCUUAGUCUACCUGGCAAUGUGUUGCUGGUGCUUCUUUUCUUUGGUUUCUUUGAUCUUUUUUUCUUUUUUCUUUGAUAUUUAUCAGGUUGUGAUUGAAGAUAUUGGGAAUUAGAUUAAGAAACUAUAAAGCUACAAGGUGCAGUAGGUUGGAUUACUUGACUAGAAUUGUGGAAUUGUAAUUUUUUACACUUUAGAAACUUGUUUGUAUAUGUACGGAUAUGAAAUAUUGGUUCAGUUAAUAAUGUAAUUGGUGGUGUAUAAUUGGAGGAA